GUGGGGAAUCUUCGGCAAUGGGGGGAACCCUGACCGAGCAACGCCGCGUGAGUGAAGAAGGUUUUCGGAUCGUAAAGCUCUGUUGUAAGAGAAGAACGAGUGUGAGAGUGGAAAGUUCACACUGUGACGGUAUCUUACCAGAAAGGGACGGCUAACUACGUGCCAGCAGCCGCGGUAAUACGUAGGUCCCGAGCGUUAUCCGGAUUUAUUGGGCGUAAAGCGAGCGCAGGCGGUUAGAUAAGUCUGAAGUUAAAGGCUGUGGCUUAACCAUAGUACGCUUUGGAAACUGUUUAACUUGAGUGCAAGAGGGGAGAGUGGAAUUCCAUGUGUAGCGGUGAAAUGCGUAGAUAUAUGGAGGAACACCGGUGGCGAAAGCGGCUCUCUGGCUUGUAACUGACGCUGAGGCUCGAAAGCGUGGGGAGCAAACAGGAUUAGAUACCCUAGUAGUCC
rnacentral:rRNA from 1 species